rnacentral:rRNA from 1 species
GAUGAACGCUGGCGGCGUGCCUAAUACAUGCAAGUCGAGCGAACAGACGAGGAGCUUGCUCCUCUGACGUUAGCGGCGGACGGGUGAGUAACACGUGGAUAACCUACCUAUAAGACUGGGAUCACUUCGGGAAACCGGAGCUCAUACCGGAUCAUAUAUUGAACCGCAUGGUUCAAUAGUGAAAGACGGUUUUGCUGUCACUUAUAGAUGGAUCCGCGCCGCAUUAGCUAGUUGGUAAGGUAACGGCUUACCAAGGCAACGAUGCGUAGCCGACCUGAGAGGGUGAUCGGCCACACUGGAACAGAGACACGGUCCAGACGCCGACGGGAGGCAGCAGUAGGGAAUAUUCCGCAAGGGGCGAAAGCGUGACGGAGCAACGCCGCGUGAGUGAUGAAGGUCUUCGGAUCGUAAAACUCUGUUAUUAGGGAAGAACAAAAGUGUAAGUAAAUAUGCAGGUCGUGACGGUACCUAAACAGAAAGCCACGGCUAACUACGUG